GUUUUUAUAGUAUAAUUUAUUACUUAACAUUUUCAUUGUUAUAAUGCUUAGCUAAAAAUA
rnacentral:tRNA from 1 species